GUGAUUGCAAUUGUUGUAUAAUGUGUAAUUUGGAUUUUCGGUGUUAAACAUGUUAAUUAAUUAAAUUUUAAAUGAAACGAAAUACACUCGACUCGUUCUUUAAUACACAACUAAAGAAGACAAAUAUUCAUGUGCAAAACGAAGAUGUAAAUAAAAGAAAGUCGAUAAUAUUUAAUUAAUUAUAAAUAUAAACUAUUUCGUUUUUUAAAACUGUUAAUUAUUGUCUAAUUGAUUUUUGAACAAUCAAUUAGGGUACUAGUGGGAAAAAUACUUUCGAACAAAUCAGUGACUAGCCCACAACCACCACACUAGUAAGAACUAAAAAUCAAUUAAAAUAUUUAAGUCAAAUCAAAUUUGAAUUCAAAAUCUAAACCACAUAUUGUUAAGGUGUUAUACUUAUUCUACCUAGUGGAAGGCCUAGAGGGCACUUAAUAUGUGACUUAAUAUUUGUACAAUUAUACAUAUAGAUUGUUGAUGGUAUAAAUGUUUUAUGAAGUACCUGUGUAUAUUAUAUUUUGUUUUUAUUUAUCUUAGAUAGAAAAUGCUCCUGGUGAUAAUAUUAGUAAUAUUGAUGAAAGUGGAAAGGAAUUUGAGAUUUGUGUUUAUAACACUUCUUUAUUUAUUAAAACAUCUAAGUCAUUAAACAGAUGGGGAAAAACUAAAGGUGAC